rnacentral:ncRNA from 2 species
UUUUACUUGUCGGAGUGCCCUUGGGCUGAGAUCGCAUUUGCGGGAUCCGUCGAACCUGAUCUGGGUUAAACCAGCGUAGGGAACAAGAUACUUUUCUGA